GAGCGUCUAUGAUACGGGAUGUGAGAAGUCUCCAGUAUGAAGAGUGAUUUAAGGAGCCUGCCUGGAGAGAAGCUCAGAGAACAGGGAAGAGCAACAGAGAAUGAGUGAGCGAGACAGACAGAGGAGAAAACCUGGGGGAAGGCAAAUAAGAAGAGGGGCGAGUGGUAUUCGGGCCGAGACGGAGAAGCGCAUGCUUCAUUAAGUGAGGAAGUAAUCCUGGCUAAUUAAGGCUCUCCAUGACAGCGCUGUCAAGGAUGACUGAUCCUUCAAAUGGCACCUCCCUUUCCUGACUGACAGUCAGACUGCUCUCACUGCUUUGAAGCCUUUCAGCAUUGUUCCCUAAGGAUGGAUCCUUGCCUAUGUAACUUGAAACAGACAAAGAGAGGUCAGGGCCCUGUUUCUUCCUCCCACCUGUGCAGUUCUCAGGGAAGUCUCCUACAGCCGCAUCUGUUGCCGGCGUGGCUCGUCUGCGGAUUAAUGACCUCGUUAAGAAGGUCGAUGCCCCUGAGCGUCUUGCGCUCACACUUCCUCACUCACGCAUAAACAUGUAAAUACCAAAAAUAAAGAACAUUUCUCACAAAA